rnacentral:rRNA from 1 species
GACGAACGCUGGCGGCGUGCUUAACACAUGCAAGUCGAACGGAAAGGCCUUUUCGGAGGUACUCGAGUGGCGAACGGGUGAGUAACACGUGGGUGAUCUGCCCUGCACUCUGGGAUAAGCCUGGGAAACUGGGUCUAAUACCGGAUAGGACCGCACUUUAGUGUGUGUGGUGGAAAGUCUUUUCGGUGUAGGAUGAGCCCGCGGCCUAUCAGCUUGUUGGUGGGGUAAUGGCCUACCAAGGCGGCGACGGGUAGCCGGACUGAGAGGUUGGUCGGCCACAUUGGGACUGAGAUACGGCCCAGACUCCUACGGGAGGCAGCAGUGGGGAAUAUUGCACAAUGGGCGCAAGCCUGAUGCAGCGACGCCGCGUGGGGGAUGACGGCCUUCGGGUUGUAAACUCCUUUCGCCAGGGACGAAGCGUUUUGUGACGGUACCUGGAGAAGAAGCACCGGCUAACUACGUG